rnacentral:rRNA from 1 species
GAUGAACGCUGGCGGCGUGCCUAAUACAUGCAAGUCGAGCGAACAGACGAGGAGCUUGCUCCUCUGAUGUUAGCGGCGGACGGGUGAGUAACACGUGGAUAACCUACCUAUAAGACUGGGAUAACUUCGGGAAACCGGAGCUAAUACCGGAUAACAUGUUGAACCGCAUGGUUCAACAGUGAAAGACGGUCUUGCUGUCACUUAUAGAUGGAUCCGCGCCGCAUUAGCUAGUUGGUAAGGUAACGGCUUACCAAGGCAACGAUGCGUAGCCGACCUGAGAGGGUGAUCGGCCACACUGGAACUGAGACACGGUCCAGACUCCUACGGGAGGCAGCAGUAGGGAAUCUUCCGCAAUGGGCGAAAGCCUGACGGAGCAACGCCGCAUGAGUGAAGAAGGUCUUCGGAUCGUAAAACUCUGUUAUUAGGGAAGAACAAAUGUGUAAGUAACUAUGCACGUCUUGACGGUACCUAAUCAGAAAGCCACGGCUAACUACGUG